rnacentral:rRNA from 1 species
AAAUUGAAGAGUUUGAUCAUGGCUCAGAUUGAACGCUGGCGGCAGGCCUAACACAUGCAAGUCGAACGGUAACAGGAAUCAGCUUGCUGAUUCGCUGACGAGUGGCGGACGGGUGAGUAAUGUCUGGGAAACUGCCUGAUGGAGGGGGAUAACUACUGGAAACGGUAGCUAAUACCGCAUAAUGUCGCAAGACCAAAGAGGGGGACCUUCGGGCCUCUUGCCAUCGGAUGUGCCCAGAUGGGAUUAGCUAGUAGGUGGGGUAACGGCU